GAUGAACGCUAGCUACAGGCUUAACACAUGCAAGUCGAGGGGCAGCAUGACCUAGCAAUAGGUUGAUGGCGACCGGCGCACGGGUGAGUAACACGUAUCCAACCUGCCGAUUAUUCCGGGAUAGCCUUUCGAAAGAAAGAUUAAUACUGGAUAGCAUAACGAGAAGGCAUCUUCUUGUUAUUAAAGAAUUUCGAUAAUCGAUGGGGAUGCGUUCCAUUAGUUUGUUGGCGGGGUAACGGCCCACCAAGACAUCGAUGGAUAGGGGUUCUGAGAGGAAGGUCCCCCACAUUGGAACUGAGACACGGUCCAAACUCCUACGGGAGGCAGCAGUGAGGAAUAGUGGUCAAUGGACGAGAGUCUGAACCAGCCAAGUAGCGUGAAGGAUGACUGCCCUAUGGGUUGUAAACUUCUUUUAUAUGGGAAUAAAGUGGGCCACGUGUGGCUUUUUGUAUGUACCAUACGAAUAAGGAUCGGCUAACUCCGUG
rnacentral:rRNA from 1 species